UACGAAGGGGGCGAGCGUUGUUCGGAAUUACUGGGCGUAAAGGGCGCGUAGGCGGCGAUCCGAGUCAGAUGUGAAAGUCCUGGGCUUAACCUGGGGACUGCAUUUGAUACUGGAUUGCUUGAAUUCGGGAGAGGAUAGCGGAAUUCCCAGUGUAGAGGUGAAAUUCGUAGAUAUUGGGAAGAACACCGGUGGCGAAGGCGGCUAUCUGGACCGACAUUGACGCUGAGGCGCGAAAGCGUGGGGAGCAAACAGG
rnacentral:rRNA from 1 species